UAUUGCGCUUGUUAACCAUUCAAAUAGGCUAGAUACCACUCCAUUUGAUUACCCCAUCCUUAGGAAUUUCUCGUCUAUCUGAUUACUCA
rnacentral:sRNA from 1 species